UACGUAGGGGGCUAGCGUUGUCCGGAAUCAUUGGGCGUAAAGCGCGUGUAGGCGGUCCGGUAAGUCCGCUGUGAAAGUCGGGGGCUCAACCCUCGAAUGCCGGUGGAUACUGUCGGGCUAGAGUGCGGAAGAGGCGAGUGGAAUUCCUGGUGUAGCGGUGAAAGUGCGCAGAUAUCGGGAGGAACACCGGUGGCGAAGGCGGUUCUCUGGGCCUUACCUGACGCUGAGGAGCGAAAGCGUGGGGAGCGAACAGG
rnacentral:rRNA from 1 species